UGACACCCAUUUUGAAGUUAGCGCCUAUG
rnacentral:piRNA from 1 species